AAUAGAUACCCAGGUAGUCCACGCCGUAAACGAUGAGUGCUAGGUGUCGGGGGGUCCACCCCUCGGUGCCGAAGUCAACACAUUAAGCACUCCGCCUGGGGAGUACGGUCGCAAGACUGAAACUCAAAGGAAUUGACGGGGACCCGCACAAGCAGUGGAGUAUGUGGUUUAAUUCGAAGCAACGCGAAGAACCUUACCAGGUCUUGACAUCCCUCUGACCGCUGCAGAGAUGCGGCUUUCCUUCGGGACAGAGGAGACAGGUGGUGCAUGGUUGUCGUCAGCUCGUGUCGUGAGAUGUUGGGUUAAGUCCCGCAACGAGCGCAACCCUUGAAUCUAGUUGCCAGCACAUGAGGUGGGCACUCUAAAUUGACUGCCGGUGACAAACCGGAGGAAGGCGGGGAUGACGUCAAAUCAUCAUGCCCCUUAUGACCUGGGCUACACACGUACUACAAUGGCCGGUACAACGGGCAGCGAAGUCGCGAGAUGGAGCCAAUCCUUUAAAGCCGGUCUCAGUUCGGAUUGC
rnacentral:rRNA from 1 species